ensembl:lncRNA
UGAUGAAAAACUCCCUUUAAUCCUCUGUGGUAUUGUUGGUUCGGGCUAGGUAGGACUCGGAGACUGAUUCCUGGACUGUGUGUCAAGGAAAUGCUCCACUUCCUGCUGUUUACACAGACUUCCUCCGACUACGGUGAGUCCCAAAUGUUUCACUUGGUCUUGGGAAGCUUCAGAGCAACCUGCUGCCAUAUUCAUUGAACAUUUUCGGCAAUUAUUUACCAACUAUACAAUUUACUUUCACCAGUGAAUUUCUAAGAAGGUUCAGCCAACAUGUCCUACGGACCCGAGGACCAGGGAGGUGAGCCUUUGGGCUCCUGGCUUCACGCGCAUUCCUGCCCACGCCUCUCCCGAUAAACAACACGUCAUCCUCUAAAACUACAAAGAUGGCGGCUCACCGCGAGGUGACCAGCAGCAGCGUCCCCCUCCUGACCCCACCCCGGCCAGAUCCCACCAACUCUCUCCCGGUCCCCGUUCCGGAUCCAAGUCCCAUCAUCAACCCCAAGAGGGGAGUGGCCGCCGGGGCCACGCAGACCCAGGCCCCGCAGCCCCCGGGGGCCUGUGGCCCCCCGGGGCCCUACAGACCCUGCUGGAGCCUGGACCUGAAGGUGGCCGUGCUCCUGCUGACCGUCGCUGGAGCGCUGAUCCUGUUGCUGUUGUACAGACUGCUACGGCUGAGGCACAGGUUACAGAUGGCCCGCAGCAGGCCCUCUCUGGAAUACUACCGCUUCUACCACGCCGCCGGCUACACCCUCAAACAUCCCCCGCCGGCCCCAGCUCCACCCGGCCACAACGGCAACACACCGGAUGUUCACGCACCCAUUCAAACCAUGACACCGCCGCCAACAUCCACCUUUAUCCUCCCAUCUCCACCGGCGUCCACUCCUCCUCCUCCUCCUCCUCCUCCUCCUCCUUCUCCUCCUCCUCCUCUACCCCUUCUCCCCUUGCCCCCACCGCCGGUCGUCCUCCGUACUCCUCCUACACCCCCUCCUCCUCUCAUCCUCCGCCCUCGGCCUUCCCCCGAGGCCCCUCGGCCUCACUCCUCCACGCCUCCGUACCUGACCCCGCCCGCACGCCACGCCACCCCGCCCAGCCCCCACUCGUCCUGGGGCGCGGGCUCCGACGUGGCCGAGGUGUACGCCCGCAUCGGGGCCUUCAGGCCCGCCCGGCUCUCCAGCCUCUCCGGCCACACGCAGGUCAUCCUGUUCGAGCACUCGUCCCUCUGAGGGCCCCAGGACACUCGGGCCGAUGGGGGGGGACUGGCUCUGUUUGACCAGGAGGGCCAUACUGCUUCCAAACCCAGGAGAACCCCUGGCCAGUAGUGCCGAUCGCCGGUGGGAGACUGUGUGACACUAUGUCUGGUUUAAACGUCAACUUCAAAGAAUGUCCUCGGUUGAUCGAUAAUCAGUGAUUGACAACAGUGUUCCAUGUUUACCAUUUUGUUUGAUGAAAUAGGGAAUUGAGCUGACCGUGAGGCAUGGUGGAAGGAUACAUUUCUGUCUUCUGAUUGGUGACUCUGCUCGUUGUUGUUGACCACUGUUCAUCUCCAGGGGCUGUACCAGACGGGAAAUAAGUCCUUUUGUGUUUGUUACUCUCUCUGAAUGUGCUGGAUUGGAUUUGGAGUCCAUUAGGGGAACAUUGUGCCAAGAUCCAUUCAUUGUACUUGAUGAAGAACCAGAUUCUGAUGAUAGACAUUAAUGGCUUUCAACGCUAUUAGAGAAAGAGAGACACUCUCUCUUCCUCUCUCUCUCUCUCUCUCUCUCUCUCUCUCUCUCUCUCUCUCUCUCUCUCUCUCUCUCUCUCUCUCUCUCUCUCUCUCUCUCUCUCUCUCUCUCUCUCUCUCUCUCACGCUCAUUCUCACUAUCUGUCUGUCUGUCUGUCUGUCAAUGAAGACUCAUCAUAAUGGCAUAAUGGGCCACUCUGCUGGAAAGAAAAGACACUUAUAAAAUAAAAAAAUAGUUGCUAUCACCCCCAAAGUUCCAUCCGUAAUAACUUGAGAUAUUUCUCUGUGGAGCCUCACGCUUUGCCUUAAAAUGCCUGUGUGUCGGAUUUGCAUGUUUCUGGACCUCUGUCAUCGAGUUUGCACGGCAACAGGUAUAGGGUCAAUUUAUUUUACUUAGCAACUUUAUCUCGACCCCCUUUACUAAAGAUACAUUUUCAAUAAUUACGUUUGUCUUGCUAGUAAUUAUUGCGUGCUUCUGCAGGGCUCAUAUGAAAAGCAAACCCCUGCUACCCGGCUUGCCUAUCGCUACACGCUAAAAGCUUGCUAAUUUAAUCCACAUGUUGAACGCGACCAAGGCUAUCCGUGUAGACAGAUGAAACAGAAAGAUGAAACGCAAUUAGACCUUUUAAGAGGGCACUUUAUUUAUCUAAUUGGUCAAUAAACUGGCCUGAGCCACUAAACACCUCACUCAUUCCCGGUCUAAACAACCACACAGUAAGUAUUAUACAUGUAAAUCAAGUCAAUAUUUCCAGGUAAAUAUAGCACAAUACUGGGGUGAGAGCGUACCAUGUAGGCUCAGUUCUGACAACAGUGACCCGGGUUUAAACCCGCCCGUGGUCAUUUGCUGCAUGUCAUCCCCUCUAUCCCCCCUACCUUCCUCUCUAUCUCACUCUAUAAUAAAGCAUAAAAAAAUCGAAACGAAUAAAUAAAUAGAGCACAUAAAGUAAAUAUAACUUUUGGUUGAAAAAAAAGAUGUCUUGGUGGUGAAAGAGCUAUUAUCUUUGUGGUGUUGACACCUGUAUGUGAGGUGGAGGAGCGCUGGCAACACAUCAUCCGGUGUCUGACGGCAGAAUGGUGUGAAAGGACAACAUGCAGGUGUAUCAUUUACAUUAAAGACCCGUUGGAUGUAAUUUGAGCGGUGCAUGGUUGCUUACAUUUAUAUGCAAUACUAACCCUCCAUACACACACACACACACACACACACACACACACACACACACACACACACACACACACACACACACACACACACACACACACACACACACACACACACACACACACACAUAUGCACACACAGACACACACACAUAUGCAUACACAGACACACACACACACACACAAAAUAUUGACGUUGUAUAGAGCAUUGUUCUCCUGGUGGCAUUUUUUACAUACUAUGAAAAACUGGGUGC